AUUGAUCAAAUCUUGAAAAAGAACUGCUUCAGGAAGAGCCAUAUUAGGGGGCAGCCACAUAGCCAGAAGGGUAGAGAACUGUCUACAAUGCAAGACCAGCUAUUUAGUGGCAGUUCUGGAUUUCCCAAAUUUUGUGUCCCCCUUCCUGUGUCAGCCAGUUCAGUUUUUAUGUUUGAGAAACCACUGGGGUAUCAGUAGUCCUCCUCGACUCAGUUAUUCAACUCUUGCCCCAAACUCAGAAUCCACCUUCUCCAUGUGUCAGAAACCAGCAGCUGUGAGCCCUCUUUCUGAACUCAGCACUUAUAGUAAUUACUCAGACCAGGAAUGCAUCUUCUCCAACACUGGUCAAGUCUGUAUGGAGCUCUAUCCAAAGAAUUAAAGAUGUAGGGUGCAGAGGCAGCAGAAAAAUGAAUUGGGGCAGUUA
rnacentral:lncRNA from 1 species